rnacentral:lncRNA from 1 species
AACUAGCUAACGUUGCCCAUGAAAGGAAGUUAGGCUAGCGAGCAAGCAUUUUAGCCAGGUAGCCUAGGACAACAAAAAAUAAAAGCAUGUACUAUAUGACAGUCAUAAAGAUGGCAUUGGCGUUUCUCUACAAGUAGGGGAUCCUCUGAACACAUCAACAUCUGCCUCCCAUGAAGCAUCGUUACCUAUCGCUCCACAAAAGCCACAGCCCUACUACUUCAAGGUCUCAGAUGUUGCUUCCGAGAGAGAGAGAGAGAGAGAGAGAUAAUUGCAUUGUACUUUAUUGUCUGAAAUGCUGUACCACUACACUGCUUUGGCAAAAUCUACAAAUUGUAUUUCAUGCCAAUAAAGCAAUCUGAAUUUCAGAGGAAAGCUUAGCCCUUUCUACCCUAUACCCAGUAUGCCCUACCUUACCCACAGAGAGAGACUACACCAGACAAUUCGGCCCUACCUAACCCAGAGACUAACCCAGCCCAGUCCACCCUAGCUCACCCAGAGAGAGACUAUAUCCCAGCCCAGUCCACCCUAGCUCACCCAGAGAGAGACUAUAGCCCAGCCCAGUCCACCCUAGCUCACCCAGAGAGAGACUAUAGCCCAGUCCAGUCCACCCUAGCUCACCCAGAGAGAGACUAUAGCCCAGCCCAGUCCACCCUAGAUCACCCAGAGAGAGACUAUAGCCCGCCCAGUCCACCCUAGCUCACCCAGAGAGAGACUAUAGCCCAGUCCAGUCCACCCUAGCUCACCCAGAGAGAGACUAUAGCCCAGCCCAGUCCACCCUAGCUCACCCAGAGAGAGACUAUAGCCCAGUCCAGUCCACCCUAGCUCACCCACCCAGAGAGAGACUAUAGCCCAGCCCAGUCUACCCUAGCUCACCCAGAGAGACUAUAGCCCAGCCCAGUCUACCCUAGCUCACCCAGCGAGAGACUAUAGCCCAGCCUAGUCCACCCAGAGAGAGACUAUAGCCCAGCCCAGUCUACCCUAGCUCACCCAGAGAGAGACUAUAGCCCAGCCCAGUCUACCCUAGCUCACCCAGAGAGAGACUAUAGCCCAGCCCAGUCCACCCAGAGAGAGACUAUAGCCCAGCCCAGUCCACCCUAGCUCACCCAGAGAGAGACUAUAGCCCAGCCCAGUCUCCAACUAACCCACUCUACAUAAGUAGUGCUGAGUGAUUAGUGCUUUUUGAGAUUGGUUGGUUUCGGUUUGAUAAUUUUUCUAAACAGUAAAUGCACUAUGCAUUAUGUGGGUUGAAUGCUGUAACAUCACAGAAUAAACUAUUAAUAAAA